rnacentral:rRNA from 1 species
ACGCUGGCGGCAGGCCUAACACAUGCAAGUCGAGCGGUAGAGAGAAGCUUGCUUCUCUUGAGAGCGGCGGACGGGUGAGUAAUGCCUAGGAAUCUGCCUGGUAGUGGGGGAUAACGUUCGGAAACGGACGCUAAUACCGCAUACGUCCUACGGGAGAAAGCAGGGGACCUUCGGGCCUUGCGCUAUCAGAUGAGCCUAGGUCGGAUUAGCUAGUUGGUGGGGUAAUGGCUCACCAAGGCGACGAUCCGUAACUGGUCUGAGAGGAUGAUCAGUCACACUGGAACUGAGACACGGUCCAGACUCCUACGGGAGGCAGUAGUGGGGAAUAUUGGACAAUGGGCGAAAGCCUGAUCCAGCCAUGCCGCGUGUGUGAAGAAGGUCUUCGGAUUGUAAAGCACUUUAAGUUGGGAGGAAGGGUUGUAGAUUAAUACUCUGCAAUUUUGACGUUACCGACAGAAUAAGCACCGGCUAACUCUGUGCCAGCAGCCGCGGUAAUACAGAGGGUGCAAGCGUUAAUCGGAAUUACUGGGCGUAAAGCGCGCGUAGGUGGUUAGUUAAGUUGGAUGUGAAAUCCCCGGGCUCAACCUGGGAACUGCAUUCAAAACUGACUGACUAGAGUAUGGUAGAGGGUGGUGGAAUUUCCUGUGUAGCGGUGAAAUGCGUAGAUAUAGGAAGGAACACCAGUGGCGAAGGCGACCACCUGGACUGAUACUGACACUGAGGUGCGAAAGCGUGGGGAGCAAAC